rnacentral:rRNA from 1 species
AACGAACGUUAGCGGCGCGCUUAACACAUGCAAGUCGCACGAGAAAGGGAGCAAUCCCCGGUACAGUGGCGCACGGGUGAGUAACACGUAGGUAACGUACCCUCGAGUGGUGGAUAACCUUCCGAAAGGGGGGCUAAUACAGCAUGAGACCACGGUUUCGAAAGAGGCAGAGGUCAAAGCGGGCCACUUCAUUGAAAGCUCGUGCUCGAGGAACGGCCUGCGGCCCAUCAGCAGUUGGC